AGACGGGUGAGGAACACGUACGCAACUUUCCUCAAACCGGGGCACAACCUUGAGAAAUCAGGGCUAAUUCCCCAUAACAUUGCGAAAGGGCAUCUGAUUGCAAUUAAAGAUUCGUCGGUUUGAGAUGGGCGUGCGUUCGAUUAGCUAGUUGGUAGGGUAACGGCUUACCAAGGCAACGAUCGAUAGCUGGUGUGAGAGCACGACCAGCCACACGGGCACUGAGAUACGGGCCCGACUCCUACGGGAGGCAGCAGUAAGGAAUAUUGGUCAAUGGACGAAAGUCUGAACCAGCCAUGCCGCGUGAGGGAUGAAGGUCCUCUGGAUUGUAAACCUCUUUUAUCUAUGAAGAAAUGUCCUGUUUCUACGGGAUUUGACGGUAAUAGAUGAAUAAGCACCGGCUAACUCCGUGCCAGCAGCCGCGGUAAUACGGAGGGUGCAAGCGUUAUCCGGAUUUACUGGGUUUAAAGGGUGCGUAGGUGGGUUGGUAAGUCAGUGGUGAAAUACUUUCGCUUAACGAAGGAACUGCCAUUGAUACUAUCAAUCUUGAAUGUAGUGGAGGUGGGCGGAAUGCGUCAUGUAGCGGUGAAAUGCUUAGAUAUGACGCAGAACACCAAUUGCGAAGGCAGCUUGCUACACUACUAUUGACACUGAGGCACGAAAGCGUGGG
rnacentral:rRNA from 1 species